rnacentral:tRNA from 1 species
GCCUGGGUGGCUCAGUUGGUUUAGCGUCUGACUUCAGCUCAGGUCAUGAUCUCAUGGCUCGUGGGUUCAAGCCCCGCAUCGAGUA